rnacentral:tRNA from 1 species
GGAGAGGUACCCAAGUGGCCAAAGGGGGCAGACUGUAAAUCUGUUGGCCGACGCCUUCGCUGGUUCGAAUCCAGCCCUCUCCACCA